rnacentral:rRNA from 1 species
AUUGAACGCUGGCGGCAGGCCUAACACAUGCAAGUCGAGCGGACGAAGGGAGCUUGCUCCUGGAUUCAGCGGCGGACGGGUGAGUAAUGCCUAGGAAUCUGCCUGGUAGUGGGGGAUAACGUCCGGAAACGGGCGCUAAUACCGCAUACGUCCUGAGGGAGAAAGAGGGGGAUCUUCGGACCUCACGCUAUCAGAUGAGCCUAGGUCGGAUUGGCUAGUUGGUGGGGUAAAGGCCUACCAAGGCGACGAUCCGUAACUGGUCUGAGAGGAUGAACAGUCAAACUGGAACAGAAACACGAACAAGGCCCCUAGGAGAGGCAGCAGUGGGGACUAUUCGCAAAUGGGCGAAAGCGUGAUCGAGCAAUGCCGCGUGUGUGAAGAAGGUCUUCGGGUUGUAAAGCACUGUUGGUUGGGAGAAAAGGCAGUAAGUUAAUACCUUGCUGUAUUGACGUUACCAACAGAAUAAGCACCGGCUAACUUCGUG